rnacentral:rRNA from 1 species
GUAGGGACCAAGCGUUGUUCGGAUUUACUGGGCGUAAAGGGCGCGUAGGCGGCAGAUUAAGUCAUCUGUGAAAUCUCCGAGCUUAACUCGGAACUGUCAGCUGAUACUGAUCUGCUAGAGUGCGGAAGGGGCAACCGGAAUUCUUGGUGUAGCGGUGAAAUGCGUAGAUAUCAAGAGGAACACCUGAGGUGAAGACGGGUUGCUGGGCCGACACUGACGCUGAGUGCGCGAAAGCCAGGGGAGCAAACGGGAUUAGAUACCCCGGUAGUCCUGGCCUUAAACGAUGAAUACUUGGUGUCUGGAGUCUUUAUAGCUCCGGGUGCCGUCGCUAACGUUUUUAGUAUUCCGCCUGGGGAGUACGCACGCAAGUGUGAA